CCUACGGGUGGCAGCAGUGAGGAAUAUUGGUCAAUGGACGAGAGUCUGAACCAGCCAAGUAGCGUGAAGGAUGACUGCCCUAUGGGUUGUAAACUUCUUUUAUAUGGGAAUAAAAUGUUCCACGUGUGGGAUUUUGUAUGUACCAUAUGAAUAAGGAUCGGCUAACGUCGUGCCAGCAGCCGCGGUAAUACGGAGGAUCCGAGCGUUAUCCGGAUUUAUUGGGUUGAAAGGGAGCGUAGGUGGAUUUUUAAGUUAGUUGUGAAAGUUUGCGGCUCAACCGUAAAAUUGCAGUUGAAACUGGCAGUCUUGAGUACAGUAGAGGUGGGCGGAAUUCGUGGUGUAGCGGUGAAAUGCUUAGAUAUCACGAAGAACUCCGAUUGCGAAGGCAGUUCACUGGACUGCAACUGACACUGAGGCUCGAAAGUGUGGGUAUCAAACAGGAUUAGAUACCCGGGUAGUC
rnacentral:rRNA from 1 species